GCAUUGGUAGACUAGUGGUGAGCGAAGCUGCUUCCCAAGCGGCUGAUCUGGGUUCGAUUCCCGGCCGAUGUG
rnacentral:tRNA from 1 species